GACAAAUAUCCCUGCUUAACUUGCUUACAACGUCAUUGGAAGAUGUGCUCCAGCAAAUUACAGGGUUAAACCAAGCAAAAGGAAGCACAGCCUUCCUUUCUGAGUGCCCAGCACUCGGACACCUUUCUUCUACUAGAAAAAUGUACUUGCCUAUUAAUUAAGGCAACCCCACUCCACUCCAACACACACACACACACACACACACAAACACACACACACACAGUACGAUGGCUGAAUACCAUCAUAUGGGCUUCGAAGCAGGGAAUUCUUUUCCAGGCAAAUGGAGAGAACGAAGGGAGACUGCCCUCUCUACGCAAAAGCCACGGUCAGCGGGUGUUCACUGCAUGCUAGACUUACAAAUAAAGUCAACUUACAAAUAAA